UGCCCCAUGGCUCAGUUGGUUAGAGCGUGUGACUGUUAAAUUCACGUAAAGUCCAAACGGAAUCACAAGGUCCUGAGUUCAAGCCUCAGUGGGGCAG